GAUGAACGCUGGCGGCGUGCUUAAUACAUGCAAGUCGAACGGACAGGCGAUGAUCUUGUGGGGUGCAUGUGAGGCGCACGGGUGAGUAAAACGUGUGUAUACCGUACCUGUCUUUGGGAUAAAUUUAGGAAAAUGCGGCUCUUAUCGGAUAGGAGAUUCUGAUGCAUAGGGGGGGAUGGUGAGUUUCGGCGGUUGGGGAUGGUCUAGAGGCUUAUCAGCUUGAUGGUGGGGUAGUGACUUACCAAGCCUGUGACGGGUAGCCGGCCUGAGAGGGUGACCGGCCACAUUGGGACUGAGAGACGGCGCAGACUCCUACGGUAGGCAGCGGUGGGGAACAUUGCGCAAUAGGCGGAAGCCUGAUGCAGCAACGCCGCGUGCGGGAUGACGGCCUUCGGGUUGUAAACCGCUGUCGCCGGUGACGAAGCGUGAGUGACGGUAAUUGGUAAAGAAGCACCGGCUAACUACGUG
rnacentral:rRNA from 1 species